ACAAAUCCGUGCUGCUCAUCAAUGCGUCGCCGCAGACUUGCCGCCUACAGGAGCUCGGGCACAUCGACUCAUUUAUCACCAGGGACGCACAAAAGCUGUGAAAGGGCGGUGAAAGUCGGCGAAACAAGCAAUUUCUGAAUAUUCUCAUCUGCUAUUCUCAUCCUAUAAAAGGCUUCUUAUCUUGGAUUGGCGUUCUUUUCAAAGUACUCCGUCUUAUGGAGUGUUGAUCGAGGGGCUGACCAGUUUGUACACUUUCUCGAGGAUUAUUUAAAAAAGUGACUUGCUGAUUUAACUUUUAACGGAAACUACGCUGAGCAAUAACGAACAUUCAAUAUCUUGCUGGAAAAGAUUUCACCGGUUACCAUGAAGCACAGUUGGUGCGUGUUAGUUCGGACUCUGGUUGUGUUAGGCCUGUUGGCCCUUUGUGCUGUGUCAUGCCAGGCGUACACGCUCGAGGAAAAUGAUAUAGAACCCAAUGGUGAUAUUAUGAUGGAACCAUCGAAAUCAGCUUAUCCCAUCCAUGCCAGAAAACCCUCAAUAUACAACUUAUUCAGUGCCUACAUGAAAUCAAGGGAAAGUGAAAAAGAACGAUCAAAACGAAAGCCUAUGAGUAUCGCUGGGAUAGAUAAUAUUCACUUUCUAAUGAGUAGUCCUAAUGCACAGAGAGGAGGUGGUGGUGGUGGCGGUGGUUCAAGAUCAAGGCCCAAAUCAGACGCGAGGAAAGUGUCAGCAGAUGCCCUCAGACAGCUAUUCCUUGCUGGCAGAUAAGGGCACGGCAAAGAUGAUGGGCGCUGAUCCCGUUGCAGUGUCGCCUCACACUAUGGUGAUGAUGGUAAAACGUUUUGUGUACGGUACUGAAUUGUGAAGCUGUAAGGACCCCGCGAUACAUACCCGUGAGACAAAAGGGACAAGACACUGCUCGUCAGCUGCACUCAGCAACGGACUUUGAAGGAACUGUGUCGUGUUUUUGAUGUUUUGACAAUCGGUACAUGGAGAUUGUUGUGUCAGGUGAUAUUAAGUGAUCAAUCGUCUUUAUAAGAAUACUCCAGCAGAAUGCUAGAUACUGCAGUUAAGUACAAAGUAGCUACCGUUUUUGGAUGAAAAACAUGUUGUCCACCGGCCCUCACGGAAAUACACUCAUAGAGCGUCAGGGUGGUUUUGGGGGAAACGUGCAUUGUUUUGAGGUGUGGUGUUGUUUCCGUCGUCGUGUGUGCCGAUGGUAUUACUGUAAAGAAAAUCACAUCGUUUACAAGAGAGAUUGUUUCACUGUCGUGUUCGAACGGAUUAUGACCUACCGCGACAGACUAUCAUGGAAUAUCCCGAUCGGAACCUCUGCUGCGGUCGCUCUCAUGAUAUUUGGUUUAUUCUUUUGGGAAAUGCACCGAGGAAAACAAUCUUUCAAAUUCUUUGUUUUAACUUCCAAAAAUUUUCCAGGCAUCUUCUGUAAAACUUUUUGUGAGGGAUUCUGAUAUCAGCUCAAUGAUAUAAUAUUGAAGUUUGAAGCCAUAAUAUUGAAGUACCUUUUUUGACAUUCCGCCUUAUCUGAUUGCCUGUCGUCAGAGGUGGAUUUACUUUACAAAGAUUUCAUGCUUUCGUUUCGGUUUACACCAAUCACUAGGGGCCUAGUAGAUUCAUCCUUACUCACAGGCUCACAAAUGUCGAUCAUGCAUAGUGUUCCAGAAAGAUGUUAUCAUUGUGAGGGUCACCCAAGUGUCAUUAAGCUGAGAUCACCUAUAAGCUUCAAGAAAAUACUGUUUCUAUUCUUGCUUUUUAACUGUAACACAUUUAAACUUUUGAACUGUUUCACGUGUAAUUUAAAUUGUACACAGUUAUUUCUCUUUGUGAGUCACUCUGUAUAUCUAACAAAAUUUGUGGUGUGAAGCACAAAAAAACGAAACGAAGAAAGAAAGAAAGAAAAAACAUCAUAAUAUACUUUCACGAACGCCUUGCUUGUACCAUAUUGGAACGAACACGUGCCGGUCUAUCAAAGUGGAUUCCCAAAGACAGCAGUAACAGUCGCGCACAUACAUUGGAAUAUAUCUUAUACAUUGCACUGUCUUUCAAAGGAGAUGAACUCUACUGAAUGCAUGCUGGACACAUUUUACAGUCGGAAGGGUAUUCCGCUAGGGCUAAAGUUUGAUCGGAGUCCACCCAUAAAAUGAUAGGUAACCACCAUUGGGAUUUUUGCUGCCGCAGGAUCGCAAUGUUACAAGUGGCCGCGAAAGAUAUGGUCGAUAAAAGCCUGUCACCAACAUUCCUCAGCAGUAUCCCUGAGGUGGAUUGCGCAAUAGAUUGACCAUUGAUAAAAAAUGUAUUGCACGCGCAGUGAUCAGUGGAGGAUCGCAUCCUUGCCGCAGACCAAUUCUCAAUGGCGGAUUCCCCGCGCUACUGUCAUUACACGCGGCAGUAGCUGACGAAGCCGACGACAUCCAUGAACCAUGCUGGCAAGUAGGUUGUUUAUUGCCAUGUUAGUGUGUUUGUUAACGGCCGUGGUUGUGGUGUAAAUAAUUUCAACAGCCACUGAAUUCGGCGAAGAUGGGAUGGCACUUGUACGACAAAGAACGGAUGAGUUUCGGUUUUGGAGGUUCAAGGUACUAUAAUUGUUUCAUAUGUGUCAAAGAAAUAUUUCAUAAUAUUAUUAAUAAGCCAGUUACAUGACGUUACUUUCAUGCUGUUGUCUUCUCCUUGGAUUGUCCCCGGGGUUAAUGAAAUAAAGAGUCCUACAGCCA